rnacentral:rRNA from 1 species
AACGAACGCUGGCGGCAUGCCUAACACAUGCAAGUCGAACGAGACCUUCGGGUCUAGUGGCGCACGGGUGCGUAACGCGUGGGAAUCUGCCCCUCGGUUCGGAACAACAGUUAGAAAUGACUGCUAAUACCGGAUAAUGACGAAAGUCCAAAGAUUUAUCGCCGAGGGAUGAGCCCGCGUAGGAUUAGCUUGUUGGUGGGGUAAUGGCCCACCAAGGCGACGAUCCUUAGCUGGUCUGAGAGGAUGAUCAGCCACACUGGGACUGAGACACGGCCCAGACUCCUACGGAGGCAGCAGUGGGGAAUAUUGGACAAUGGGCGAAAGCCUGAUCCAGCAAUGCCGCGUGAGUGAUGAA